rnacentral:rRNA from 1 species
AACGAACGCUGGCGGCAUGCCCAACACAUGCAAGUCGAACGAGACCUUCGGGUCUAGUGGCGCACGGGUGCGUAACGCGUGGGAACCUGCCCUUAGGUUCGGAAUAGCUCCCCGAAAGGGGUGCUAAUACCGGAUAAUGUCUUCGGACCAAAGAUUUAUCGCCUUUGGAUGGGCCCGCGUUGGAUUAGCUAGUUGGUAGGGUAAAAGCCUACCAAGGCGACGAUCCAUAGCUGGUCUGAGAGGAUGAUCAGCCACACUGGGACUGAGACACGGCCCAGACUCCUACGGGAGGCAGCAGUGGGGAAUAUUGGACAAUGGGCGAAAGCCUGAUCCAGCAAUGCCGCGUGAGUGAUGAAGGCCUUAGGGUUGUAAAGCUCUUUUACCCGGGAUGAUAAUGACAGUACCGGGAGAAUAAGCUCCGGCUAACUCCGUG